GUUUAACAACAGGCUUUUAAUCGAAUGGAAAUCUCAACUGCGUGGAACGGGCAUCUCUCACUGAGACCUCUGAUUUCCUAUUCGCUGAAACCUUAGGUGUGUCAGGAGGUGUGUGCUUCUCCGGAGCUGUAUUACUGCAUCAUUUUCGAAAGGGAGUGUGACAGUUUUGACAGAGUCAGUGGUGGACAGCACAGGCUUGUUUGUAUCAAAGGGACUAUAGGCACCUGCCCCCACCGAUUUCACCUCUGACAGUUGUGUUCAGCACGCUUUGCAACCAUAUGGAUUGGACAGUCAUCGUUGAGGGCUGCAGCCUUUUCUACACCAAGCGAUUCUGCAUGCAGUGUGUGAACAAACAUUUGGACCAGAUCCCCCCUCACAUUCAAGCUGAACUUGACAAAAAGAAGCAGCCAUCACAGACAGGUGUUUCAUGAUUUCUGCAAGAGACAAAUUAAAGAGACUGGAGGUACUUCAGGAAGGAAAAUCUCUAGCAUUUCAAUUAGGAGAUAUCUCUCGGGGUUGUGGCUAGCGUUCUUGCCUUGGGGUCAGGUGACCCGGGUAGUAUUCCCACUUAGGGCAAUACUCUCUCCUGUCGGUCACUUGUCAUAUACGCAUCUGGGAUAGACACGUUUCUGUUUUGGGAGAAAUGGUUGGAACUGAACAUAACUUCUGGGCCACAUAAGGGAUUCUAGUUGGUGUCAUAUACAGUUUUACCAAUUUCCAUAAUGUGGAAAUUGAGCAAGUUGAGUUGACUAAACUACUUGGAGUAACCCUACAUUGUAUACUGUCAUGGUCAAAACAUAUUGAUACAAAAGUAGCUAAGAUGGAGAGAAGUAUGUCCAAAAUAAAGCACUGCUCUGACUUCUUAACAACAUUAUCAACAAGGCAUGUCCUAAAGGCUCUAGUUUUGUUGCACCUUGUCUACCGUUCAGUCAUGUGGUCAGGUGCCACAAACAAAGACUUAGGAAAAUUGCAAUUGGCUCAGAACAGGGCAGCACAGCUGGCCCUUGGAUGUACACAGAGCUGAUAUGAAUAAUAUGCAUGUCAAUCUCUCCUUCUCCUGGCUGAAAGUGGAGGAGAGAUUGACUUCAUCACUACUUGUAUUUAUGAGAAGUAUUGACAUGAAUGCGCCUGUCUGUCUAAACCCCUGGCACACAGCUCGGACACCCAUGCAUAUCCCACAAGACAUGCCACAAGAGAUCUCUUCACAGUCCCCAAGUCCAGAACAGACUAUGGGAGGUGCACAGUACUACAAAGUACUGGUCGACCGAUUAGUCGGCAUGGCCGAUUAAUUAGAGCCAAUUUCAAGUUUUCAUAACGAUCAGUAAUCGGCCUUUUUGGACGUCGAUUAUGGCCGAUUACAUUGCAAUCCACGAGGAAACUGCGUGGCAGGCUGACCACCUGUUACGCGAGUGCAGAGUUAAUUGGACCUUGUGGCUGCAAGGAGCCACGGUAAGUUGCUAGCUAGAAUUAAACUUAUCUUAUAAAAAACAAUCAAUCUUCACAUAAUCACUAGUUAACUACACAUGGUUGAUGAUACUACUAGGUUAACCAGCUUGGCCUGCAUUGCAUAUAAGCAAUGCAGUGCCUGUUAAUUUAUCAUCGAAUCACAGCCUACUUCAACUUUGCAAAACGGGUGAUGAUUUAACAAAAGCGCAUUUGCAAAAAAAGCACAAUCGUUUCACAAAUGUACCUAACCAUAAACAUCAAUGCCUUUCUUAAAAUCAAUACACAGAAGUAUAUUUCUUUAAACCUGCAUAUUUAGUUACAAGAAAUUCAUGUUAGCAGGCAAUUAUAACUAGGGAAAUUGUGUCACUUCUCUUGCGUUCAGUGCAAACAGAGUCAGGGUAUAUGCAACAAUCUGGCUCGUUGCGAAGACCGUAAUUAAUUUGCCAGAAUAUUACAUAAUUAUGACAUAACAUUGAAGGUUGUGCAAUGUAACAGCAAUAUUUAGACUUAGCGUUGCCACCUGUUCGAUAAAAUACGGAACGGUUCCGUAUUUCACUGAAAGAAUAAACGUUUUGUUUUCUAAAUGAUUGUUUCCGGAUUUGACCAUAUUAAUGACCAAAGGCUCAUAUUUCUGUGUUUAUUAUAUUAUAAUUAAGUCUAUGAUUUGAUAUUUGAUAGAGCAGGCUGACUGAGCGGUGGUAGGCAGCAGCAGGCUCGUAAGCAUUUAUUCAAACAGCGCUUUACUGCGUUUUUCCAGCAGCUCUUAGCAAUGCUUGAAGCACAGCGCUGUUUAAAACUAUCAACUCCCGAGAUUAGCCUGGCAAUACUAAAGUGCCUAUAUGAACAUCCAAUAGUCAAAGGUACAGUGGGGAGAACAAGUAUUUGAUACACUGCAGAUUUUGCAGGUUUUCCUACUUACAAAGCAUGUAGAGGCCUGUAAUUUUUAUCAUAGGUACACUUCAACUGUGAGAGACGGAAUCUAAAACAAAAAUCCAGAAAAUCACAUUGUAUGAUUUUUAAGUAAUUAAUUUGCAUUUUAUUGCAUGACAUAAGUAUUUGAUACAUCAGAAAAGCAGAACUUAAUAUUUGGUACAGAAACCAGAAACCAAUUACAGAGAUCAUACGUUUCCUGUAGUUCUUGACCAGGUUUGCACACACUGCAGCAGGGAUUUUGGCCCACUCCUCCAUACAGACCUUCUCCAGAUCCUUCAGGUUUCGUGGCUGUCGCUGGGCAAUACGGACUUUCAGCUCCCUCCAAAGAUUUUCUAUUGGGUUCAGGUCUGGAGACUGGCUAGGCCACUCCAGGACCUUGAGAUGCUUCUUACGGAGCCACUCCUUAGUUGCCCUGGCUGUGUGUUUCGGGUCGUUGUCAUGCUGGAAUGCUCUUACUGAGGGAAGGAGGUUGUUGGCCAAGAUCUCGUGAUACAUGGCCCCAUCCAUCCUCCCCUCAAUACGGUGCAGUCAUCCUGUCCCCUUUGCAGAAAAACAUCCCCGAAGAAUGAUGUUUCCACCUCCAUGCUUCACGGUUGGGAUGGUGUUCUUGGGGUUGUACUCAUCCUUCUUCUUCCUCCAAACACAGAGAGUGGAGUUUAGACCAAAAAGCUCUAUUUUUGUCUCAUCAGACCACAUGACCUUCUCCCAUUCCUCCUCUGGAUCAUCCAGAUGGUCAUUGGCAAACUUCAGACGGGCCUGGACAUGCUCUGGCUUGAGCAGGGGGACCUUGCGUGCACUGCAGGAUUUUAAUCCAUGACGGCGUAGUGUGUUACUAAUGGUUUUCUUUGAGACUGUGGUCCCAGCUCUCUUCAGGUCAUUGACCAGGUCCUGCCGUGUAGUUCUGGGCUGAUCCCUCACCUUCCUCAUGAUCAUUGAUGCUCCACGAGGUGAGAUCUUGCAUGGAGCUCCAGACCGACGGUGAUUGACCGUCAUCUUGAACUUCUUCCAUUUUCUAAUAAUUGCGCCAACAGUUGUUGCGUUCUCACCAAGCUGCUUGCCUAUUGACCUGUAGCCCAUCCCAGCCUUGUGCAGGUCUACAAUUUUAUCCCUGAUGUCCUUACACAGCUCUCUGGUCUUGGCCAUUGUGGAGAGGUUGGAGUCUGUUUGAUUGAGUGUGUGGACAGGUGUCUUUUAUACAGGUAACGAGUUCAAACAGGUGCAGUUAAUACAGGUAAUGAGUGGAGAACAGGAGGGCUUCUUAAAGAAAAACUAACAGGUCUGUGAGAGACGGAAUUCUUACUGGUUGGUAGGUGAUCAAAUACUUAUGUCAUGCAAUAAAAUGCAAAUGAAUUACUUAACAUAUAACAUAUAAAUUAAUACAAUGUGAUUUUCUGGGUUUUUGUUUUAGAUUCCGUCUCUCACAGUUGAAGUGUAACUAUGCUAAAAAUUACAGACCUCUACAUGCUUUGUAAGUAGGAAAACCUGCAAAAUCUGCAGUGUAUCAAAUACUUGUUCUCCCCACUGUAUAUGAAAUACAAAUGGUAUAGAGAGAAAUAGUCGACGCAUCAUAAUUCCUAUAGUAACUACAACCUAAAACUUGUUAACUGGAAAUAUUGAAGAACUGGGAAUAUUGAACCACCAGCUUUCAUAUGUUCUCAUGUUCUGAGCAAGGAACGUAAACAUUCGCUUUUUUACAGGCACAUAUUGCAGUUUUACUUUCUUCUCCAACACUUGUGUUUUUGCAUUAUUUAAACCAAAUUGAACAUGUUCAUAAUUUUUUUGAGACUAAAUAGAUUUUAUUUAUGUAUUAUAUUAUGUUCAAAUAAAGUGUUGUUGUAAUUGUCAUUAUUACAAAUAUAUCAAAAAAUUGGACAAUUGUUUAUAUUUUUUAUCGAGAUCAGCUUUUUUUUGGUUCUCCAAUAAUCGGUAUCGGUAUCGGCGUUGAAAAAGCAUAAUCGGACGAUCUCUACUACAUAGAACCAUGACUACAUGGAACUCUGUUCCACAUCAAGUAACUGAUGCAAGCAGAAAAAUGUCAUUUAAACAACAGAUAAAAAAAACACCUUAUGGAAUAGCAGGGACUGUGAAGCAACACAAACAGACACAUGCAUACACACACACACGAUAACAUAUGCACUAUACACACACAUACACAUGGAUUUAGUACUGUAGAUAUGUGGUGGUGGUGUAGGGGCCUGAGGGCACACAGUGUGUUGUGAAUGUAUUGUAAUGUUUAAAAGAUUGUAUAAACUGCCUUAAUUUUCCUGGGCCACAGGAAUGCUUGACCCCAGCCUUGGCAGCAGCUAAUGGGGAUCCAUUAUGAAUUAUGCUUCGCCCAAGCAGUGAUACAAACACUAUUUUUCUAUGGAUGACCUCAAUGUUUAUAAACAAGAUCCGUUGACCUUGCAGAGUAAAUGAAACCUCUCUGGUCCAUAGGAGCAUUCUGUGUAUGCCCCUCAAAUGGCACCCUAUUCCCUAUUUAGACUAGUGCACUACUUUUGACCAAAGCUGCAUGGGCCCUGGUCGGAAGUUGUGCACUAAAUAGGGAGCCAUUUUGGAGAAAAGCUCAAUUGCAUGUGUCCCAGUGAGGGAACUCCAAGUACAUAAGUAAUUGUAACCACUAAACUGCAGUGAUAGUCAGAUUGUGUCAAAGUCAGUUGGCGAUAGGCGAGCUGCCAACAAUGACGGACGGCAUUUAACACUGAGGAGAUGUCACUCUGGACUGGAGGCAGAUUUAAAAAGCACAAAGAAAAUGGGGAUAUUAGAGCUAUUGAACCCUGAACCCAACAUUGCCAAAUGCAGGUCAUGUAUAAUUCCACAGAACCUUUCCCUAUCUCUCCUCACUUUUUAGGGAGACAAUUCCAAACAAAAAUCUCCUACUCUUGCUCCAAAACCUGUCACAAAGUGUCAUUCUAUGACCGUUCAUAAGAGACUGCCAUCCACUUUCUUUUGUCAUAAACCAAUAAAAUAUAGGUGCAUAAAGAAUAAUACAAAUAUUACUUUAUUCAACUACUGAGACUACCAGGUUAUUACUUUAGACAUGGCCACUUAUUAAUAACUUACUAGUAGUUCCUCUCUAAUGCUCCGUGUACACUAGUGGGCGGUGAAACGCCGCUCUUAUUAAUUUGCAAUGGUAGGGAAGCGGAGAGGGCGGGGGACCGUUUGGCGGUGCGAACAUGGCGUGGGAGGCGGUGAAAAAGUUCAGCAUUUCCCAACUUUACAGCUCGUGUACACUAGCAUGCGAUAAAUUGCCACGUGCCACUUAGGUCGCCCAGUGUGGCUCGCUUAUGGGCGUGCUGGCAGCAUAUGGCAGCACAUUUGAUUGUGUGUCAAGAAUUUAGCAUAGCAAGUUUGUAUGAAGGUCUGGUUAUUAAAUGGGUAAAUAGUAUAACACAUUCUCUAUUUCAAUAAUUUAUUCACAGCUAAAUAGUAAUGUGCUCUAAAAUGCUCUAGUGACGAACAAACUUUGCUGCCCUGUUUCCAAUUGUCCACAUGGCUGGGAGAACCUAUUCAAGUAAGUAAAUACAUUUGGAAAAAAUGAGUAUUUUUUUUUAUUAUUAGCUAUCUACUUACAGUGCAGGCUAACUCAAAUGAGCUGCUAACGUAGCUAGCUAUCUAGCCAACUUUGCAUACUGUAUAGAUGGCUAGUGACGUGGAAAUUCUUACACAGGGACACUCAAAGACAAUCUUAAAUGAAUCAUUGUUUAUUGUCAGCGUGCUGUAGAGGUUCCAACCAACUCAAUGCACCUUAGUACACAUCAGGAGCUCUCCCUGGCCAGACCCAGCAGUUCUCUUAUAUACGACUAUGCACAGAAACGUUAUUGCAUGAUUUGGAAUAAUUAAUUAAUAAUUACCAUUUUGUUUCAUUCAUGUGACCAACCAAACUGUUUCAGAACAUGUGACAGACCAACACCUCACGAGGCUUCUCUUUAUGCUGAGACCUUGAAACUGAGAGAGAUUUUGUUUGUUCACAAAACACGGUCUCGGCGUACUGCCAAAUUGCAGCUACUGAUAAGUGAGGAUUUGUACAGUCAGCCACUUGCAUGAACACAGAAAUUGGUUUAUAGAACAGCACAUGAAUAGAACACAUAAAUUAGUUAAAGAAAACCACAAACAUUAAAAUUCCCAUUACACUAGCUAAGUGAAUGAAAUAUCACCAGCUACCUAACUUCAUAUUAGCUCAUAAACUAACUAAAAAACGAACUCCAAAUGCAUUUGUAGGUAGCUAGCUAACAGCCAUGGAGGAGGGUCAAAGGAUAGCAGCCCCAACUGUCAAAGUGAGAGAAUAGGCUAUUCUAGAUAGGGCAGGUACUUUUGUGUAGUUCCAGUCCCUAGAAGUGAGGACGGAGAUAACAGUAAAAUAAUAUUCAGUGCGGUCUAAUUUGAGUAUAAUGAAGUCUGUUUCUUGUGAGGUUUUCUGUCUUUAGAUACAGAGAGCUGUGAAAGCCUGUCUGCAGAUGAAGUCCCAAUGAAGAGCAAUGGUUCUCAGUCCUGGUCCUGGGGACUCAAAGGGGUGCACAUUUUUGUUUUUGCCUUAGCACUACACAGCUGAUUCAAAUGAUCAAGCUUUAAGUGGUAUUUAUGUAUUCAUUUGUGAUGCUAUCCUUGAUAUGAUCCUGCUAUUGUCACAUGCUACACAUGCACAUGUGUGUGCACAUGCAUCUGCCUAUCCAAUGUUAUCAUGAUUUGUUAUAAGGGAUAUUAUACUUUAGUAAUCCACAAUGAUCUGGUGAUGUAAAACUCUAAAAAUGACAUUGUCUUCCAUAUUCCUAUAGAUACCUUGUAACUGGAGAUACCUUCAAAACAUUUUCCUACAGUUACCAUGUAGGGCACUGAAAGGUUGGGUGACCAUGGCCAUCUGGGACUGCCUCCAAGGGGAAUUCAGGCAUGUGAAUGCUACCUGUGUCCUGCAUAACUUCAUGAGUAUGGACACGAGGACCAUGAGGGGAUCUGCAGCUCACCACCGUGUGCCAGAGGAGAGGUCUGCUGCUCUGCAGGACGUUUCAAGGAUGGGGGCCAACAACACAGCACUGGAGGCAAUCCGUGUGGGGUAGAUCUUCACCUCCUACUUCUUCAAAGAGGGUGCUGUUCCCUGGAAACAUCAUAGACUACACUAUGCACAACCAAAUGCUCUUUUAAGAGCCAUAUACAUUGCAAUAAGAGUAUUAUUUCAUUUACUUAGCUAUGUCAACUGCAGUUAUUAAAGUCCCAGUUUCUCUCCUUUUGAUUUCUACUUCUCAGGUGAGGGUGCUGUUCUGGUAAAGGUGAUGUCUGUACAAAAAAAACAGGGUCUUUUAAGAGUCACCCAUAUUGAAAACAUUUAGAACAGUUUGACACCCUAUAACCCACACCUACACACUUGUGUAUAAAUCUGAUUGAUGGAUUGUGCAGUAAGCAGGCUCAGGUGCAUAACUGUGGCUCCUUCCACCUUCAAAGGAUAGGCAAGAGGACCAACCAUGGAGAAUAGUAAGACACUUCAUUUUUUAUAUUUAUAUAACUAUGCUAUAUUGUUUGUCCUUGUGUCUGUGCAUGUUUUUCAGUAUAAAGUACUCUGCAGCCACUUAUCGUGGACACCAGGUGAGACCACACACACAGAUUCCUGUUGAACACUAUCUCUUUAACUACCUUAUUUUGUCAAUAACAGUCUCUCUCCUUCACUUCAUCCCUCUCCUCCCUUCUCUCUAAAUCCUCUAGGUUAUAUCAGCUAUGUUGGUGAACCCCACCCGCAUCUGAACUGGUUACAUAGAGGGCACAGCAUGAUCAGAGAAGCCAACUCCCAGUCCCGUCAUCGCCAUCUCACCCGCUCUUAAGAUAACCUUCGGGCCAACUGGGGCCCAAGGCUGUUAGGAGACACUGCUUGAGACACUAUUACAGUAUGUAAUUGUGAUGAACUCAGAGAACAUUAGGGUAUCACUAAUUCAUCAAUCAUAUGCUGUCUUCCCUGUUCCUUUUGACUCUGCUCUUACCUUUUUCCCUUUCUUUCUUUUACACUCUCACACCUCCUCUUUCUUCCUCUGUUUUUAUAAUGAACAGCAGAUGUGCAUUGAAGUACAGAUUGAACUUGUAUUUGUAAUAUCAUAUUAUAAUUAUAAUAUUGAUAAUGCAUAUAUUAUGUAUUUAGAACACUUGGAUAAUGAACUUCUUUCAAUAAAGUGUUUCACAUUCUCU
rnacentral:lncRNA from 1 species